GCCGUUCUUUAGAAAAAAAAACUCAAAAACCUUCCUUUUUUUCUCUCAAGCAUCCGGCCAGGUCCCAGAAAUCGGCGAACAGGGCCGACACGUCGGCCGAGCCGGCUACCGCACGCGGUGGCCGGAAAAGUAAAAAAAUGAGUGGUUGAAGCAGGCAUGGUGGUGGCAGAAAGAGUUGGUGCGGCGGCAGCAGAGCAGUUGGCGGUGGCAGGGCUGUUAGGGGCUAGGUGCGGCGGCUAGUGGUUAGGUGGCUAGGGUUUUUUUUUAAAAUGUUUUAGGUGUUUGGGCCUGUUGGGCCUUUAGGGUUUUAUUUUUUUGGGUGUGAUAGGUUUUAGAUUUGGGCUGGUAACUUGGGUCUGUUGGGUUUGUAUUUGUUGGGCUGGUAAUGGGUUUUGGGCCCGGGCAAAAUUUGGGCUGUACAAUAACAUUGUAUUACUUUUCUUUAAUGAGAUGCAUUUUUGCAUUUCUUUAGUCUUUCAUCGAAACAAAUAGAUUACGGAAUGAAAAAGUAAGGUUAAAUUUUAUUAUUAA